GAUGAACGCUAGCGACAGGCCUAACACAUGCAAGUCGAGGGGUAGCAGGAUGUAGCAAUACAUCGCUGACGACCGGCGCACGGGUGAGUAACGCGUAUGCAACCUACCUUCUACAGGGGGAUAGCCCGGAGAAAGCCGGAUUAAUACCCCAUAAAACAGGGACGCCGCAUGGAGAUAUUUGUUAAAGAUUAAUCGGUAGAAGAUGGGCAUGCGUUCCAUUAGCCAGUUGGUGAGGUAACGGCUCACCAAAGCAACGAUGGAUAGGGGAACUGAGAGGUUUAUCCCCCACACUGGAACUGAGACACGGACCAGACUCCUACGGGAGGCAGCAGUGAGGAAUAUUAGUCAAUGGGCGCGAGCCUGAACCAGCCAAGUCGCGUGAAGGAAGACUGCCUUAUGGAUUGUAAACUUCUUUUAUAUGAGAAUAAAAAGAGUUACGUGUAACUUAUUGCAGGUAUCAUAUGAAUAAGCAUCGGCUAACUCCGUGCCAGCAGCCGCAGUAA
rnacentral:rRNA from 1 species